rnacentral:rRNA from 1 species
AUGACUGGUCCCAAGUCCAGCGCCCAAGUAUUGCCUGGCAAGGAAUUCGGAGGAAGCGAUGUGGUACCAUACGCGGACGUCACAUGGAACUCGAAGGCCGCCCUUCAAUGUCAAUUCUUCACUUGGCUAGCCAUGUGGAACCGUUGUUGGACGUCCGUUCGACUCACCAAGAGAGGCUUGCCCACCAUGACACAUGCCCCUUCUACAAAGCCGACGAGACCAUUAACCAUCUACUCAUCGAAUGCAUCUUCACACGAUGGUCGAUCGGUGUGGCACAUGGUGUGGUCGGCUAUUGGAAAUCCGGACCAAGCUCCCACUGUUGAUGAUAACUUAGUGUCAUGGUGUGACUCCAAAAGAUGUGGAGGUCAAAAGGUGAAUGAAACGAGGGCCAUUCUUUUUAUUUUUUGCAAAAUGAAACGAGGACCAUUCUCUCGCUAA